rnacentral:rRNA from 1 species
AGGACGAACGCUGGCGGCGUGCUUAACCCAUGCAAGUCGAGCGGUAAGGCCUUUCGGGGUACACGAGCGGCGAACGGGUGAGUAACACGUGGGUGAUCUGCCCUGCACUCUGGGAUAAGCCUGGGAAACUGGGUCUAAUACCGGAUAUGACCUGCUCUCGCGUGGGGGUGGUGGAAAGAUUUAUCGGUGCAGGAUGGGCCCGCGGCCUAUCAGCUUGGUUGGUGGGGUAAUGGCCUACCAAGGCGACGACGGGUAGCCGACCUGAGAGGGUGACCGGCCACACUGGGACUGAGACACGGCCCAGACCUCCUACGGGAGGCAGCAGGUGGGAAUAGUUGCACAAUGGGACGAAAGCCUGAUGCAGCGACGCCGCGUGAGGGAUGGAAGGCCUUCGGGUUAGUAAACCGUCUUUCAGCAGGACGAAGCGACGAAGUGACGGUACCUGACAAGGAAGAAGCGCCGGACUAACUACGUGCCAGCCACGCCGAC